rnacentral:rRNA from 1 species
AACGAACGCUGGCGGCAUGCCUAACACAUGCAAGUCGAACGAGACCUUCGGGUCUAGUGUCGCACGGGUGCGUAACGCGUGGGAACCUGCCCUUAGGCUCGGAAUAACUCCCCGAAAGGGGUGCUAAUACCGGAUAAUUUCUUCGGACCAAAGAUUUAUCGCCUUUGGGUGGGCCCGCGUUGGAUUAGCUAGUUGGUAGGGUAAAAGCCUACCAAGGCGACGAUCCAUAGCUGGUCUGAGAGGAUGAUCAGCCACACUGGGACUGGGACACGACCCAGACUCCUACGAGAGGCAGCAGUGGGGAAUAUUGGACAAUGGGCGAGAGCCUGAUCCAGCAAUGCCGCGUGAGUGAUGAAGGCCUUAGAGUUGUAAAGCUCUUUUACCCGGGAUGAUAAUGACAGUACCGGGAGAAUAAGCACCGGCUAACUACGUG